UGGGGAAUAUUGCACAAUGGGCGAAAGCCUGAUGCAACAACGCCGCGUGAGUGAUGAAGGUCUUCGGAUUGUAAAGCUCUGUCUUUUGGGACGAUAAUGACGGUACCAAAGGAGGAAGCCACGGCUAACUACGUGCCAGCAGCCGCGGUAAUACGUAGGUGGCGAGCGUUGUCCGGAUUUACUGGGCGUAAAGGGUGCGUAGGCGGAUGUUUAAGUGAGAUGUGAAAUACCCGGGCUUAACUUGGGUGCUGCAUUUCAAACUGGAUAUCUAGAGUGCAGGAGAGGAGAAUGGAAUUCCUAGUGUAGCGGUGAAAUGCGUAGAGAUUAGGAAGAACACCAGUGGCGAAGGCGAUUCUCUGGACUGUAACUGACGCUGAGGCACGAAAGCGUGGGUAGCAAACAGGAUUAGAUACCCUGGUAGUCCACGCCGUAAACGAUGAGUACUAGGUGUAGGAGGUAUCGACCCCUUCUGUGCCGCAGUAAACACAUUAAGUACUCCGCCUGGGAAGUACGAUCGCAAGAUUAAAAC
rnacentral:rRNA from 1 species